UACGUAGGUGGCUAGCGUUGUCCGGAUUUAAUGGGCGUAAAGAGCGCGCAGGCGGUCGUGCAAGUCGAGUGUGAAAGCCCCCGGCUCAACUGGGGAGGGUCACUCGAUACUGAUCGACUCGAAGGCAGGAGAGGGAAGCGGAAUUCCCGGUGUAGUGGUGAAAUGCGUAGAUAUCAGGAGGAACACCGGUGGCGAAGGCGGGUCUCUGGGCCGAUACUGAUGCUGAGGAGCGAAAGCGUGGGGAGCGAACAGG
rnacentral:rRNA from 1 species